rnacentral:misc_RNA from 1 species
AGUUCCUAAUGUUGUUUCGUAUAAUAAUUUGAUCAAUGCACAUUGUGAUGAGGGGAGAGUCGAUACGGCACUUGAAAUCUAUAGGCAUAUAAUUGCAAAUGCUCCGUUUAGUCCAUCGCAUGUAACUUAUAAGCAUUUGACUAAAGGGUUGAUUGAUGCUGGGAGGGUUGAUGAAGCAGUGGAUUUGUUGAGAGAGAUGUUGAACAAAGGUCACGGGGCAGAUUCUUUGGUCUUUAACAAUAUAAUUAAAGCGUUUCUUGACUUGGGAAAUUUGGAGAAGGCAAAUGAGUUUUUCAAUGAGUUGACUGAGAGAUGUUUGUGGUAUGAUGGCACAGUUAAUGCAACAUUUAUGGAUUGGUGGUUUAAGCAAGGGAAGGAUAAGGAGGCUAUGGAGAAUUAUAAGUCAUUUAUGGAUAGGAAAUUGAAGAUUGCACCUCCAACUGGAAAUGCCCUCUUGGAGGUUCUGCUUAGGUAUGGGAAAAAAGAGGCGGCUAUAGCUUUAUUUGAGUUAAUGUUAGAUAACCAUACCCCACCAACCAACCAAGGUGUUAAUUCGGAAACUUUUAAUAUCAUGGUGAAUGAGUGUUUUAAAGAACAGGAGUUUGCUCAGGCAGUGGACAUGUUUAGGAAGGCAGGGACAAAGCCUGGGUCAAAACCUUUUCAAAUGGAUGUUGCAGGGUAUAAUAACAUUAUAAUAAGGUUUUGUGAGAAUGAGAUGUUAUUAGAGGCUGAGAAAUUCUUCACAGAACUAUCAUCCAAGUCUUUGUCCCCUGAUGUCACAAGUUAUAGAAUGCUGAUCGAUGCUUAUCUGAAGGUUGAGAGAAUUGACGAUGCUUUAAGGUUGUUAACUAAGAUGGUACAGGAAAAUUUGUGGGUGGUGGCAACUUACGCGACAAGGGUGUUUAGUGAGUUGAUUAAGAAUGGAAAGGCAGUUGAGUGUGCACAGAUUUUGACUAAAAUGGGAGAGCGAGAUCUAAAACCAGACCCCUCUGUUUAUGAUGUUGUGGUGAGAGGACUAUGUGAAGCAGGUGCAUUUGACAUGAGCACAAAUAUACUGGAGCAAAUGAUGAGAUACUGUGUUGGUGUUCCUCCCACGUUAAAAGAAUUUGUAACUGAGGCAUAUACCAGUGCUGGACAUAAUCAAGAAAUUCAGAGAGUUUUUGAUGAAAAUAGGUGGAGGAACAUGUCUAGACCCCCUCAUGUGCAAAGACAACCUCGAAUGCCAUGGGGUUCUCAAAUGGCAAGAGAGCAGCAAUCUUCAUUGCCUGCACGAGCACCAUCAGGUCAACCUCAGAUGGCAAGACAGCAACCAUUUGGUCGCCAGCAAAUGGAAGGUCAAAUGGUAUCAGGAUCACCUCAAGCGCCAUCAACACAACCAUUAGGUUCCCAUAAUACUGCAGGACAGCAGCCAUCAUGGUC